AAUGCAUUUUGUAAUGUUUACAUUACAAUAAAAAAAAAAGACAUUAUAAAGUAGACAUAAAGAGCACCUAUUAUGGGAUACACGUUUUUAAACAUCCUUUUGUGUGUAAGUGUGCAUUAGUACAUGCUAACGAUAUUCAAAAAGUACAUACCUCAAAGAAAACGAUGACGCGAGUUAUCGUCUCUAACGUUCGAGGACUACAAAAAACACUCGGAUUGUAGGCAACAGUUUACUUCCUGGGAUUAGUGACGUAGAUAAGACCAACAUUAUCAUAGUUCAGCCCUCUCUGCUUUGCUUGGGUACGCCCUCAAAGACGAGGGUGGGGAGCGCCGAGUCAGAAGAGAGCUAAAAUGGCGGAGGUUGUGAGUCCCUGCUUUUACUCUGUUUGCAAACUCUUGUUUCAUCGUUUAAGCGAUUAAAUCUCUCGAGUAGACGCUGUCUCUUUAGAUGCGAGGGCAAAAUAGCACUUUAUGGACUUCCACAGAGGACAUCAUGUUUAAUACGGUUCCGGAAAAAUCCAGUCAGAAGUUGUUCACGGAGUUUUCACAAUAACUGCUUCUCAUGAACCGAAGCUGGAUUUGCGCGACGUCUCCUCUUGAAAGUUGGAUUACUGUGCACUUCUGGAUCACAGACUAUUCGCAGCUGGACACAUCCUUCUACACUGUAUGCAAACAUGCAACAUCAUUACACACAGUACAAGGAGUCAGACUGGCAUAUGAGGAGCAAAGGAACCCAGGCAGUAGCAUCGUUUCACAAUGUUUCCAUCACCAUCAUCAGUGGAUGCCUUUGCCGUCCGUAGCCUGAGAUUUCAGAUUUGCAGCAAAAAAAUUGAUUUUCUCAUUUAUUGGAAUGCUGUGCAGGUAUUUGUACCUUGCAGCCAUCCAUUACAAUGUCACCAAGCCGUAACAAAAGCAGGAGAGGGAAAGUACAAGGCUAUGUUCCCAAAACACAAAUGACAUACCUUAUGUGGAUGAUGUGAUCAGGCUUGUGUUUGCUGAGGUAUUUGAAGAUAAGCUGAAGGAAACCCCGAUUCCAAUGGACCUGGCAUCACAGUUUGAGAGACCUUCAAAGGAGGACGUGAUUGCAUGCCAUCUUCAGUGCAGGGGUCGUCGGAAGCCAACAUUCCGAUCGGGAAGCUCCAAGCGUAUCUGGAGAACAACACACGACAGGAUGAUAACCCUAAAGUGUCAUCUUAGAUAGCAUCAGCUGACAAAGCUUUGAUAUGCCAUUUAUCUGAAUAGAUAGCUGUAAGAAGUGAAUUGAACAAUUUUUGAAAGAAGAGCACAAUAUGGUUACUAAAGUAUGUUUAUUUGUAUAUUGUUUAACAUUUAAAUAUAUAUUUGUAAUAAAU